rnacentral:rRNA from 1 species
AUAUAACUAAGCGGAGGAAAAGAAACUAACUAGGAUUCCCCCAGUAACUGCGAGUGAAGCGGGAAGAGCUCAGACUGAAAAUCUUCGGAAUUGUAGUCUGUAGAAGGUAUACCCUACGAAUACUUUAACUUAAGUCUCUUGGAACAGAGUGCCAUAGAGGGUGACAGCCCCGUUCAUAGUUAUAGUAUGAGUGUCCGGUAGCCUUUCAACGAGUCGAGUUGUUUGGGACUGCAGCUCUAAUUGGGUGGUAAAUUCCAUCUAAAGCUAAAUAUUGGUGGGAGACCGAUAGCGCACAAGUA